UUUUUUUUAACUUUCUUUUAUCAUGUAUUAUUUGAAUAUAUUUUCAUUUAAUGGUGAAGUUUACAUAACGGUGGGUGUAGCUUACAUCCCUAAUACUAUCUUAUGUCACACGUAUAACCAAUGCUUUAGAAAAGAACUCCUACAUGCAUUAAUCCUGUUAUCUCCUAUAACAUGCACACUUGUAAACGCGUGCUUAUAUAAUUGGAUCUUACCGGGGACAUUAACAAUGUGGCAGUCUGCAUGAUGAAGGCCUUUAAAGAUCUGGCAAUCUGCAUGAGUUGAAAUUUUGGUAAAAUAUCUUUGUCAAGCGUAUUCAUUU
rnacentral:lncRNA from 1 species